GUGAUGACGACCGUGAGACAAGUUAUACAAAAGUGAGAGCAAUAUAUGUAAAAAGGUUACUGAAUGGGACUUACCCUCUAAUUGUCUUUUUGGGAAAUGAGGGACAAAGAAGUCACCCCAUUUGCUGGUGGUCUCAGAAAACAGCUGAUCUGGAACGCGGAUUUCGACAUAAUUUAACAUACUACAGGAAGGAUAACCAGGGUCGAAAAAAGCGUGGGUCAUGGCAAGUACGAAAUACAACCUACAAAGUUAGUCGCAGGAAUGAUUUACCAACCAUCGGUGUUACAGCGUUGAUGG